rnacentral:rRNA from 1 species
AUUGAACGCUGGCGGCAUGCCUUACACAUGCAAGUCGAACGGUAACAGGUCUUCGGAUGCUGACGAGUGGCGAACGGGUGAGUAAUACAUCGGAACGUGCCUAGUAGUGGGGGAUAACUACUCGAAAGAGUGGCUAAUACCGCAUGAGAUCUACGGAUGAAAGCAGGGGAUCGCAAGACCUUGUGCUACUAGAGCGGCCGAUGGCAGAUUAGGUAGUUGGUGGGAUAAAAGCUUACCAAGCCGACGAACUGUAGCUGGUCUGAGAGGACGAUCAGCCACACUGGGACUGAGACACGGCCCAGAGUCCUACGGGAGGCAGCAGUGGGGAAUCUUGGACAAUGGGCGCAAGCCUGAUCCAGCAAUGCCGCGUGCAGGAUGAAGGCCUUCGGGUUGUAAACUGCUUUUGUACGGAACGAAAAGCCCUGGGUUAAUACCCUGGGGUCAUGACGGUACCGUAAGGAUAAGCACCGGCUAACUACGUGCCAGCCGCCGCAGUAACAC